UACGGGAGGCAGCAGUGGGGAAUAUUGGACAAUGGGGGCAACCCUGAUCCAGCCAUGCCGCGUGAGUGAAGAAGGUCUUCGGAUUGUAAAGCUCUUUCAGAUGUGAAGAUGAUGACGGUAACAUCAGAAGAAGCCCCGGCUAACUUCGUGCCAGCAGCCGCGGUAAUACGAAGGGGGCAAGCGUUGUUCGGAAUUACUGGGCGUAAAGGGCGCGUAGGCGGUCAUUUAAGUUAGUGGUGAAAUCCCAAGGCUCAACCUUGGAACUGCCUUUAAUACUGGAUGACUUGAGUAUGAGAGAGGAUAGCGGAAUUCCUAGUGUAGAGGUGAAAUUCGUAGAUAUUAGGAGGAACACCAGAUGCGAAGGCGGCUAUCUGGCUCAUAACUGACGCUGAGGCGCGAAAGUGUGGGGAGCAAACAGGAUUAGAUACCCUGGUAGUCCACACCGUAAACGAUGUGUGCUAGUUGUCGGAACAAAGUUUCGGUGAUGCAGCUAACGCGUUAAGCACACCGCCUGGGGAGUACGAUCGCAAGAUUAAAACUCAAAGGAAUUGACGGGGACCCGCACAAGCGGUGGAGCAUGUGGUUUAAUUCGAAGAUACGCGAAGAACCUUA
rnacentral:rRNA from 1 species